rnacentral:rRNA from 1 species
GAUGAACGCUGGCGGCGUGCCUAAUACAUGCAAGUCGAGCGAACAGAUGAGGAGCUUGCUCCUCUGACGUUAGCGGCGGACGGGUGAGUAACGCGUGGAUAACCUACCUAUAAGACUGGGAUAACUUCGGGAAACCGGAGCUAAUACCGGAUAAUAUAUUGAACCGCAUGGUUCAAUAGUGAAAGACGGUUUUGCUGUCACUUAUAGAUGGAUCCGCGCCGCAUUAGCUAGUUGGUAAGGUAACGGCUUACCAAGGCAACGAUGCGUAGCCGACCUGAGAGGGUGAUCGGCCACACUGGAACUGAGACACGGUCCAGACUCCUACGGGAGGCAGCAGUAGGGAAUCUUCCGAAAAGGGCGAAAGCCUGACGGAGCAACGCCGCGUGAGUGAUGAAGGUCUUCGGAUCGUAAAACUCUGUUAUUAGGGAAGAACAAAUGUGUAAGUAACUAUGCACGUCUUGACGGUACCUAAUCAGAAAGCCACGGCUAACUACGUG